UACUUCUGCGACAAAUUCCGAAAGCAUGAGUGAUAGGACACGAUCCGGAAAUUGUCCUUAUCCACAAAAAAUAAAAUGGAUGGAAAUAUCGGUGUGCGUACCUGUAUAAAUAGAGUAAGUGUC